UGUAGGUUAUGGGUCACUAUUGAAACGCACUGUUAUGCGCCGUGAUUCAUGCCGGAUUGUUUACAGGAAUGAAAAGGAAAAUUAAUUCAUUUUAAAAGUUAUCUAGAAUUUUAUCAAGUAUGGGAUGUUGCUACAGUUUUUGUAAAGAGGACACCGGACCACAGAGUGGCGAAGUGAACGAGAGAACACAUCUUCUAGUUGAUCCUGUUAGUAAUAAUACAAAUAUACCAAGAGUGCACAGCGAUGAUUAUGUUAAUCAGUAUGCAAAUUCUGAACCUAAGAAGACAGACGAACAAAGCGCAUUGAACAGAAUUCUGCACGAAACAGCGGCAAAUGUAAUAGAUAUUGGCGCAUUGGAUUCACAUAAUUUGGAACAACACGAAUACAUGGAUAGAUCUAGAGCUUAUGCAAAACGUAUAGAAGCAGGGGGCUUCAAAGUCCCCGAUUAUACCACGUGUCUUCUCAAGGAUAUUCCUGCACCUGAACGAAUACUCGCAUCGAAUCCGCUUGAUGCUGGAGAUCUCGAACUUAUCACUGGAAUGCUCAAGAAUGCAGUAGCUGCAUUAAAUGACAUCAAAGUAGAGCAUAAGGAAGAUUUGGUAGUUCCUUUCUUAUCGUGAUCUUACAGUAAUUCCAUCGACAGGAUACAUCAGCCUGUCUAAAUGGAAUUAUUUUUGUCAAGAGACACAAAGUGGGAGACGGCCAGUAGAUGAUAUACAGUUAGAUGCAGGAAACGCAAGUAAACAUAUCUCUAUUGUAUAUGACGAAAGCAACAAGUAGUAAGAGAAUGAGGAGGGUGAAAGGAGAGAGGGGGAGGGUCACUAUAAUAACGGUAUUUAUUUUAACCGCGCUUUUAUAACUAUCAAUCGAAUCAAAUCCGUACACCUAAUUGUCAAGAAAACAUUGAAAGAAUUAUUUAUUGCUAUAAUAAUAAAAACGUAAUCAAAGUAAUAUUCCACUCGCAGUCCUUCCUUUAUAAAUUAGACGCAUAUAAAAAUCAUACGAAUGAUUUAACG
rnacentral:misc_RNA from 1 species